CUAGCAGUAAACCAUCAGCCCCCUCUUCAGAUACCGUUCCUCUAUUCCGCCGCCCUUCACGUCGAUUUCUUGUAAAGAGGAAGUCAAGCCGAGAAUCGAAUUACCGCCUCUGCCACCGUUACCCACGAAUUAGGAACCGAACCGUGUAGCCUGUGUUGAUCGCACUUAUUCGGAUGGACCUACUGCUCGAGUUGAUCGUGGGAAACGUAAUUAUUGUCGUUAACAUUUGUCGAGGUGUGUUUCUAUCCAAUGCUGGUUGUUGACAUGAAAAAUUGAAUUAUGAAUUUGACUGUUUUAAGUUAUUGGUUGAAUUUAACACAUUCGAAAAAUGUCGUGUUGUAAUGUGAUAUGUUGUAUUCGGAAAAUAUAUUGUGCA